CAUCAUCACUCUUUGUACAGGAUUUUAUGAAAAUCAGGUGUGUAAUACAAAGAGUCUAAGAAAAUCUGUUGGAGCUCUGCUCAACUUCUGAAGUUCUGGCAGUUAAAACUGUUAAAUGCACUUAGCUGCAGGCAAUAUCGGAUUCGUCCAUCUACUGCUGUAGCAUGAGCAAACUAAUGGCACGGCCUCCAAGUCCAGCUCUUUUCGAAUUUUUAUAAAGUUUGGCUAGAUACAAGUCAUGCACACUUCUUACAUUGUAUCUGCAGCUGGCUGCUUCAAACUAGAAUGACUUGAGCGAGCUGGAUCUCCCAGAAAGCCCUCUGUAUUUGCAUUUAUCCUACGUGAUUCACCAUUUCUGAUUACCAUGGCACGUCUGGCUGCCUCUGAGGAUUCAUGUCUCAUCUGCAACCAACUGAGAUGA
rnacentral:lncRNA from 1 species